GGCAACACGAAUUGUUGCGUAGUGGGCUGCAACAGCACGUACAGAAACUCACCAGGAACAAAGUUUUACCGGUUUCCGAGCCGACCGUAUGAAGCAUAACGGCGUCAACGCUGGAUCACGCUCGUCCGACGGCAGAGAGAUGAUGGCAGCAACUGGACACCUGCAGCACAUAGCAGGAUAUGCAGCAAACAUUUCGUCGGUGGCACGAAAUCUAACGAAGAAGGCCACCCCACUUACUUCCCCUCAAUAUUUCCCGCUGCGUACAAGACAUCGACUGGGCCUGUGUCAAGUGACCGUUACGCGAGAAAAAGAAAGCACCAGGAGCAAAAGAUGGAGGAGGCACGACAGAUACCCAGUUGUGACAGUCAAGA
rnacentral:lncRNA from 1 species